AGAUAUCCGUUGAAAGAGACAGUAAGCUUUGAUAAACGAGCAGAAAGAAAGAAUCGCCUUGGCUGAAAGUGAUUCCCGUUAAGAAGUCUGAAGGACACUCUGGAGGAAUAGCAGUGCAAAGCUGCUACGUUACGAGCGUUAAUCGUUGAGGAAAGCCAUGGCUUUCAAAUAAAGGUGGUACCACGAGGAAAACAAUAACUCGUCCUUAUU
rnacentral:ncRNA from 1 species